rnacentral:rRNA from 1 species
UUAAUUUGAGAGUUUGAUCCUGGCUCAGGACGAACGCUGGCGGCGUGCCUAAUACAUGCAAGUCGAACGAACUCUGGUAUUGAUCGGUGCUUGCAUCAUGAUUUACAUUUGAGUGAGUGGCGAACUGGUGAGUAACACGUGGGAAACCUGCCCAGAAGCGGGGGAUAACACCUGGAAACAGAUGCUAAUACCGCAUAACAACUUGGACCGCAUGGUCCGAGUUUGAAAGAUGGCUUCGGCUAUCACUUUUGGAUGGUCCCGCGGCGUAUUAGCUAGAUGGUGGGGUAACGGCUCACCAUGGCAAUGAUACGUAGCCGACCUGAGAGGGUAAUCGGCCACAUUGGGACUGAGACACGGCCCAAACUCCUACGGGAGGCAGCAGUAGGGAAUCUUCCACAAUGGACGAAAGUCUGAUGGAGCAACGCCGCGUGAGUGAAGAAGGGUUUCGGCUCGUAAAACUCUGUUGUUAAAGAAGAACAUAUCUGAGAGUAACUGUUCAGGUAUUGACGGUAUUUAACCAGAAAGCCACGGCUAACUACGUGCCAGCAGCCGCGGUAAUACGUAGGUGGCAAGCGUUGUCCGGAUUUAUUGGGCGUAAAGCGAGCGCAGGCGGUUUUUUAAGUCUGAUGUGAAAGCCUUCGGCUCAACCGAAGAAGUGCAUCGGAAACUGGGAAACUUGAGUGCAGAAGAGGACAGUGGAACUCCAUGUGUAGCGGUGAAAUGCGUAGAUAUAUGGAAGAACACCAGUGGCGAAGGCGGCUGUCUGGUCUGUAACUGACGCUGAGGCUCGAAAGUAUGGGUAGCAAACAGGAUUAGAUACCCUGGUAGUCCAUACCGUAAACGAUGAAUGCUAAGUGUUGGAGGGUUUCCGCCCUUCAGUGCUGCAGCUAACGCAUUAAGCAUUCCGCCUGGGGAGUACGGCCGCAAGGCUGAAACUCAAAGGAAUUGACGGGGGCCCGCACAAGCGGUGGAGCAUGUGGUUUAAUUCGAAGCUACGCGAAGAACCUUACCAGGUCUUGACAUACUAUGCAAAUCUAAGAGAUUAGACGUUCCCUUCGGGGACAUGGAUACAGGUGGUGCAUGGUUGUCGUCAGCUCGUGUCGUGAGAUGUUGGGUUAAGUCCCGCAACGAGCGCAACCCUUAUUAUCAGUUGCCAGCAUUAAGUUGGGCACUCUGGUGAGACUGCCGGUGACAAACCGGAGGAAGGUGGGGAUGACGUCAAAUCAUCAUGCCCCUUAUGACCUGGGCUACACACGUGCUACAAUGGAUGGUACAACGAGUUGCGAACUCGCGAGAGUAAGCUAAUCUCUUAAAGCCAUUCUCAGUUCGGAUUGUAGGCUGCAACUCGCCUACAUGAAGUCGGAAUCGCUAGUAAUCGCGGAUCAGCAUGCCGCGGUGAAUACGUUCCCGGGCCUUGUACACACCGCCCGUCACACCAUGAGAGUUUGUAACACCCAAAGUCGGUGGGGUAACCUUUUAGGAACCAGCCGCCUAAGGUGGGACAGAUGAUUAGGGUGAAGUCGUAACAAGGUAGCCGUAGGAGAACCUGCGGCUGGAUCACCUCCUUUCUAAGGAA